GACGAACGCUGGCGGCGUGCUUAACACAUGCAAGUCGAGCGGGAUCCAACCGGUGGCAACACCGGGGAAGAUCUAGCGGCGAACGGGUGAGUAACACGUGAGCAACCUGCCCCGAAGACUGGGAUAACACCGGGAAACCGGUGCUAAUACCGGAUGUCGUCAUUAGGCCGCAUGACCUGAUGAUGAAAGGAUUCAUCGCUUCGGGAGGGGCUCGCGGGCUAUCAGCUUGNGGUGGGGUAACGGCCUACCAAGGCGACGACGGCUAGCUGGUCUGAGAGGACGACCAGCCACACUGGGACUGAGACACGGCCCAGACUCCUACGGGAGGCAGCAGUGGGGAAUCUUGCGCAAUGGGCGAAAGCCUGACGCGAG
rnacentral:rRNA from 1 species